rnacentral:rRNA from 1 species
CCAGAGAUGGAUGGUGCCUUCGGGAACUCUGACACAGGUGCUGCAUGGCUGUCGUCAGCUCGUGUCGUGAGAUGUUGGGUUAAGUCCGUAACGAGCGCAACCCUUGUCCUUAGUUACCAGCACGUUAUGGUGGGCACUCUAAGGAGACUGCCGGUGACAAACCGGAAGGAAGGUGGGGAGUGACGUCAAGUCAUCAUGGCCCUUACGGCCUGGGCUACACACGUGCUACAAUGGUCGGUACAAAGGGUUGCCAAGCCGCGAGGUGGAGCUAAUCCCAUAAAACCGAUCGUAGUCCGGAUCGCAGUCUGCAACUCGACUGCGUGAAGUCGGAAUCGCUAGUAAUCGUGAAUCAGAAUGUCACGGUGAAUACGUUCCCGGGCCUU